UACCAGCACCCCGAGUGGUCGGGACGAUUAUUGGGCCUAAAGCAUCCGUAGCCGGUUUUACAAGUCCUCCGUUAAAUCCAACUGCUUAACAGAUGGGCCGCGGAGGAUACUAUAGAGCUAGGAGGCGGGAGAGGCAAGCGGUACUUAGUGGGUAGGGGUAAAAUCCGUUGAUCCAUUGAAGACCACCAGUGGCGAAGGCGGCUUGCCAGAACGCACUCGACGGUGAGGGAUGAAAGCUGGGGGAGCAAACCGG
rnacentral:rRNA from 1 species